GCCUGCGGCGGACGGUGCGAGGGGAUUCUUGAAAUCCGCCGGAGUUUCUACCUGUCGGGAGUUGUCCGGUACGCCAACCCGCACCGUCCGCCACCUUG
rnacentral:antisense_RNA from 1 species